CUCAUAAACCUUCUCUGCACUCAUAAAACCCAGAGACAAUGCUGUCCGCCUCCUCAAGGCUUUUCCGAUCCCACAUAGCAGUAUCGCUAUUCAUUCCCACUCUCUCUUCCGACCCUUUCCCGAUUCGGAUUCAGAAAUGUCACUCAACUACAUCGAUCAACAACACCCACUCCUACUCUUCCGAAUCACAACAACAAACACUCGUGACUCAACUCCUCUCCACCAUCGAAAACGCCCCCACAUUACUCCAAUCCCUACACGACCAACACAUCUUCCUAAACCCAAAAUCUCUCAACCAAGUUUUAAUCUCCGCCGCUCAAAGCAACCACCUUUACCUCGUACCCCGAAUCUUCAAACUCGCAGUUGCUUCCAAAACACAGCCUUUAAACUCAAACUCCUAUCUCACUGUCGCCAAAGCCUUCGCAAAAAAAGCACAUGACUGUGUUCCUGAGCUUCUCAGCUUCACCGACCAAAUAUUGGAACUGACCCAACCCAGCAUGACAGUGAUCAACAGACUCCUCUUCGCAUUUGGUCAAUGCAAGGAGACUGAAGCUGCAAUUUCGAUCUUUACCCAUGUCAAAGAUCAAAACUUUUCACCGGACUUGUACACAUACAACACUGCUUUCGAGAUAUUGGGCCGGGCGGGUCGUACAGGUGAGAUGGUGGGUCUCUUUGGGGAGAUGAAGCAAGCUGGGAUUGACCCGGAUUUGGUUUCGUACAAUACGGUGAUAAACCAUGUGAGGAAGUUUGGGGAAGUUGAUAUGUGCUUGUUUUAUUUCAAGGAAAUGUGUGAAAUGGGUGUGCAGCCUGAUUUGCUUACUUACAGUGCAGUCAUUGAUGGGUUGGGGAGGUCAGGAAACAUUGAGGAGUCGUUGAGGUUGUUUGCUGAGAUGAAGGAGAGGCGGAUUCAGCCUUCGUUGUAUCUAUAUAGGGCAGUGAUUAGUAAUUUGAAGAAGAUGGGGAAGGUGGAGAUGGCAUUGAGUAUUAUGGAGGAGAUGAAUUCAUGUGCCUCAAGUAUUGCUUGUUCUGGAAGAAAUAAGCGCCAGUAGAAUUGAUGUCAUUUGGAUGCUUUGAGUUUUAUGGAGGAGAUGAAGUCAUGUGCCUCAAGUAAUGCUUGUCCUGGAAGGAAUACGCACCAGUAGAAUUGGGCGUGCCCCGAUACCAGUUGCCCAGAGACACAUCCCAUAUGGUGUAGAUGAAACCUGCCCAGUUGCUCUUUCUUUAGUGGAGAUUUCCUUGGCAGUUACCUGGGAACCUGUUUUAACUGCAAUACCAUCUCUGGAGAAUUUUUCUUCAGCAAAUUUAGUAAUUCUUGUGUCAAACCUGUAAGAUCAAACCAAGAAUAUUAUACAACACUUGACUGAUAUCUUCAUUGAAAUACCGUAAAUUACAGAAAUGUAUAUGCCUUACUCACAUGUUCAAGAUAUGAUCACCUGCUUCAAGUAAAUUAAUAGAUACAUCAUCUUUAACAGAAGGGUACAGAGUGGCCAAAUCCACAUUUACAAAGUCAUGAAGCUCUGCAGCAAGCUCCACACCUGCUGGACCGCCACCAACAACUACAAAGUGCAAAAUUUUCUUCCUUUCUUCUUCACUAAUGCAUGGCAGACUUGCCCUUUCAAAGCAGUCAUUACAGACUGACGAAUCUUCAGAGCAUCUCCUACUCCCUGGGCCAAUGAAAACCCAAACAGCUCAUUGUUCUUCACCUUGUGACAUCAUAGUUUGUGGUGUCAUCUUAAUUCUAAGUGCUAUAGUAAAAGAAGUAUGGAGUUUAUACCCUUCAAGAAAUGAGUGUGCUCUUCAACACCAGGAGUGUUGAAUGUGUUAGCUUUUGCUCCCAUGGCUAUGAUCAGGUAAUAAGUACCUUCUUAGUAAUGGAGCGAAUUGGUUCGACAAUGCUGUGUGGUUCCACUGUGCCACAAGUAAUACUCGGCAGCAGAGGAGUGAACAAAAAAGUAAUUAUGGGGGGACUCCACUUCAACAUCAUAUGAGGAACUCUUCAAAUUCUUCAAGAAACUGACGCCAGCCCAACCAGUUCCAAGUACCACGACCUUCUUUUUCUUUGGUUCGCCCUCAGAUUGAGCUGCUUAAGCAUACACA